CCUACGGGAGGCAGCAGUGAGGAAUAUUGGUCAAUGGCCGGAAGGCUGAACCAGCCAUGCCGCGUGAAGGUCAGUGCCCUAUGGGCGUUAAACUUCUUUUGUGCGGGAGCAAUAAUGGUCACGUGUGGCCAGACGAGAGUACCGUACGCAUAAGCAUCGGCUAACUCCGUGCCAGCAGCCGCGGUAAUACGGGGGAUGCAAGCGUUAUCCGGAUUUAUUGGGUUUAAAGGGUGCGUAGGCUGUGAGGUAAGUCAGCGGUGAAAUGCCCCGGCUCAACGGGGUGAAGUGCCAUUGAUACUGCCUGGCUGGAAUGCGGAUGCGGUGGGAGGAAUGUGAGGUGUAGCGGUGAAAUGCGUAGAGAUCACACAGAACACCGAUUGCGAAGGCAUCUCACGAAUCCGCGAUUGACGCUGAUGCACGAAAGCGUGGGUAUCAAACAGGAUUAGAUACCCGGGUAGUC
rnacentral:rRNA from 1 species